UUUAUGGUUUCACAGUCAUAACGGCCCUCUGUGGGAAACCGUAACGACAAGGUGGCCCGCGACAAAAAUGACUUGGACACCCCUGCUCUACCGGAUGAUUGCCAUCUUUUUAAAAACUCUCUUCAGCAACACCCAGUCGAUCACCACCAUCCCUAUUGAAAAAAAUAUGCAUUCAAAACAUUCCUCAGCUCGAUGGAUUACGCACGGGGCCGUGCACUGGAUCACCGCCAGAUCUCUUAACGCUUUAUAGCUCAUUCAAAUAUAUGCGCUCCUCAGCACCCGCCGGAUCCAACUGGAUCAGCGCAGCCUCUUCUUCUCCACACUCCACAUCUAAUUACCAUAUAAAGACUCUUGCCUCAGCGCCCACUAGAUCCCCCGGUGGAUCACCGCCGCCUCCUCUUCUCCACCCUCUAAAUGACCAACGCGUACACUCCUCCCCAUCCUCAGUACCCACUAGCUAGAUAUUCCAUUAGAGCAUCCAGCGGAGGUGAGGUGGGCUCAUCUGGGAAUGUGAUCUGCUUCCUGGACUCUGCCGGAGGUGAGAGGCGGCGUGCUGACCUCAUCUCGUCGUCCGACCGAUGCGUGCGUGUCGCAUUGUGUGUGUGAGAGAGAGAGAGAGAGUGUAUUUGUGAGCGUGUGUGGAGGCACUCUCCAUCUCCUGAUGGAUGCGGCACACUGAGCCAUGGGCACACACACGUGAGGAUGCCGCUUAUCAACCGUGCCUCGGAAACACAAGAUAAGCUUGUUUAGGAUAUCGGGAAGACGCGCCCGCGUUUGGAAAAUGCCGGUGGGUGAAUGCUGAGCACCAUGACGAGCGGCCAGGAUGCUUGGGUCACGCUGAGCCCAGCAGAAUUCGCCCUCUUGCAAGAAUAUACUCAGUACUCGACCAAGAAGCUGAAAGAUGUGCUGCAGGAGUUCCACGGCGAUGGCGUGCUGGCCAAAUACAAUCCAGAGGAGAAACAGGAAAUUCUCAGCCAGCAGGACAUUGAUUUUGAGGGCUUCAAGCUAUUCAUGCAGACCUUCCUGGAGAGCGAGCUGCCUAAAGAGUUCUGCCAGCAUCUCUUCAUGUCCUUCAGCAACAAGGAGCACCCCAGCCCGUCCUCGUCCUCCGACAAGCCCAGAGUCUCCGGGCUCAAGCUGAUCAAAAGCAACUCAACCCCCCUGAGGACGAGCGGCGUGCCCGGCCCGCCGAGUACGGUGCAGCUCAAAGACAUCGUGUGCUACCUGUCGCUGCUGGAGGGAGGACGGCCCGAGGACAAGCUGGAGUUUAUGUUUCGCCUCUAUGACACCGAUGGGAACGGCUCUUUGGACAGCUCGGAGCUGGAGCACAUCAUCUCGCAGAUGAUGCACGUGGCCGAGUACCUGGAGUGGGACGUGACCGAGCUCAAACCUAUCCUGCAGGAAAUGAUGCAGGAGAUCGACUACGACCGCGACGGCACCGUGUCUCUGGAGGAGUGGAUCCAAGGAGGGAUGACCACCAUCCCGCUCCUAGUCCUGUUGGGUCUGGAGACCAAUGUGAAAGAUGACGGUCAGCACGUGUGGCGUCUGAAGCACUUCAACAAGCCAGCCUACUGCAACCUUUGUCUCAACAUGCUCAUUGGCCUCGGCAAGCAGGGACUCUGCUGCUCGUUCUGCAAGUACACGGUCCAUGAGCGCUGCGUGGCCCGCGCGCCGCCCUCCUGCAUCAAAACUUACGUCAAGUCCAAGAAAAACACGGAGGUCAUGCAUCACUUCUGGGUGGAAGGUAACUGCCCCACCAAGUGUGACAAGUGCCACAAAACCAUUAAGUGUUACCAGGGUCUGACUGGGCUCCACUGCGUGUGGUGUCAAAUCACGCUCCAUAACAAGUGCGCCUCGCACAUGAAGCCCGAGUGUGACUGCGGACCUCUGAAGGAUCACAUCCUGCCGCCCAGCUCCAUCUGCCCUGUCGUCUUGGAAAGGCAGUCGACGCUAAGGAAGGACUCGAGGUGCAGCCAGUCGAGUCGCGGAAAAGUACAGCGAGCCAACUCGGUCACAGUGGAUGGUCAAGGCCUGCAGAUCACGACAAUAGAGGGCACUCAUCCGCUGCUGGUGUUUGUCAAUCCCAAGAGCGGUGGCAAACAGGGAGAGAGGAUCUACAGGAAGUUCCAGUACCUCCUAAACCCGAGACAAGUGUACAACCUGGCGAAGAAUGGACCCAUGCCGGGGUUGAAUUUCUUCCGAGACGUGCCUGAUUUCCGGGUGCUGGCGUGCGGCGGGGACGGCACGGUGGGCUGGAUCCUGGACUUUAUUGACAAGGCAAACCUGGACCGGAACCCACCUGUGUGCGUAUUUCCUCUCGGCACAGGAAAUGAUCUGGCCAGAUGUCUGCGCUGGGGAGGAGGCUAUGAGGGCGAGAGCCUGCUCAAGAUCCUGCGCGACAUCGAGAACAGCAGCGAGGUGAUGCUGGACCGCUGGAAGAUCGACGUCACGGCCGCCGACAAGGACGAGCGGGGCGACCCGGUGCCGUACAGCAUCGUAAACAACUACUUCUCCAUCGGAGUGGACGCCUCCAUCGCACAUCGUUUCCACGUGAUGAGGGAGAAGCACCCGGAGAAGUUUAACAGUAGAACAAAGAACAAGCUUUGGUACUUUGAGUUUGGCACUUCAGAGACGUUCUCGGCCACGUGCAAGAAGCUACACGACUUUCUGGAAGUCGAGUGUGACGGCGUUACCCUGGACCUGAGCGCCGUCUCCCUGGAGGGCAUCGCCAUCCUCAACAUUCCCAGCAUGCACGGCGGCUCCAACCUGUGGGGCGAGAGCAAGAAGAGGCGGGGUCACCGCAAGGCGGCCAAGAAGGGCCUGGACAGGAGGAUGCCUUUGACUGACCCUAAAGAGCUCAUGUUUGCAGUUCAAGACCUGUCCGAUCAGCUGUUAGAGGUGGUCGGGCUGGAGGGAGCCAUGGAGAUGGGUCAGAUCUACACGGGCCUGAAAAGCGCCGGAAGACGCUUGGCGCAGUGCUCCUCCGUCACCAUCAGAACCAGUAAAUCACUUCCCAUGCAGAUUGAUGGUGAACCUUGGAUGCAGACCCCCUGCACUAUCGAGAUCAUCCACAAGAACCAGGCUCCCAUGCUGAUGGGUCCUCAGCCGAGUCGAAGCUUCUUCUCCUCGCUGGUGAGGAGAAGGCGGGCCGAGAGCAAAGACUGAUCCCUCCAAAUGCUUCGUAGGUCCUCCAAGUCCUCGUCGGAAGCGACGAAACUCAUCGCACGGGCCAUUCCCCGACUCUUUUGGACCCGUGCGGAGAUGCGAGGGGCUCGCGUCUUUGCCUGCUUGAUUGCCCAGAGUGCCGUAGCAAAGUGUAGGUUCUGCCAGGAACGGACGGCUCAGUGUGAACAGGUACUCGUGUUUAAUUUCAGUGGAAAAAGCAGUCCGAAUGACUUUUGCAUGUAGGUGUGCCAUGAAGGUAACAUGCCUUGUUUGAUUUUUGUUCAAUGAAUUUUGUACAGUUCAUUUACGCAAAAAAAAAAAAAAAAAAAAACACAAACACGAAAUGACUAAAGGCAUAAUAAGUACGCCAAAAAAGACACUCGGGUACCUUGGUUUUAGGGUGAUGCUUUCAUCCGCAUUGGGUACAGUAAGGGUACCGAUUGCUUUUCUGUUGUAUAAACAGGAACACAUUUGAUGAAAUUUAAUUUUAAAGGUACAAAAAACUGGUAGCAGUUUUUUGCCAACAAAUGAAAAAUUCAAAUAAACUUAAUAUUGUAUACAACAAUGUAAACACAACUUUUUUUUCUUUUGAAGAAAAAGUGCAACAUCAACAAUGCGGAAAUCAAGUGAAAUACUGUAUACAAUACAACAAAUAUAUUUAUUAAUUUAUAGCAGCUGAAAUCCAAGCUGCUAUAAUCCAAUUCAAGUGCCACACCAAUUUUUUUUGUUCUAUUUAAGAUGUAGAUUCAAAAAAUGUAUACAUAAUACAUUUAUUCAUAUAUAACUGCAGAAAUCUUUUCUUUUUAGGAAAGUGCAAAACCAAUCAUUUGUCUCCUUUUAACAAAAUACAAUCAAAUAAUGCCUAAAAUAAAUAUUUGCACAUACAAUAAAACAAAUUCUGUAUUUAUUUGUAACAGCUGAAUCAUUUUCUUUUGAGAAAAGUGCCACACAGUUUGUUCUCUUUUUGAGGAGACAAACAAUGCAAACAAGUAUGACUGUGAGAGUUAUUCAUCAAAUACAUACACACAAAAUUAUGAACCAUACACACCUAUGAUUUAAGAAUCUACCGCAUUGCCACAAAUAACGCCCAUCCCUCUAAUAGACACCAUGCCUACGGACUCGGCCGUUUAUCACAUGAAACAAGAAUUAACUGCCUGAGCCCAUUUGAACUCUGUCGCUAACCAAAACAGCAGCACCUGGCACGGCACUUAAAGCGUCUCUCAUUCAUUGAAGUGGGACGUAUUGGCUCAAGUAUUAAAGAUGAUGGAAUGGAAUGCGCAAAUGGUUUGACUUGACUUCGACGGAUGGAAUUCUUGUUCCUGAAGAACUUCUAUAUUGCUAACAUUGGUCAAUACUGUUUACAAAAAUGUCCUCCAGUUAAGGCCUCCCACCUAACAGACACCUGCAGUCGAGAAUGUUAACCCCCCCCACACACACACCCCCUGUGAUUUGAUUGCGGAAAGAAGUUGUUAUUAUAUAAUAAGUUGUGAGUAUAUGGCCACAUCAACAUUUGGGGACCAUGGCCGGCCGGCCACAGUGUGAGCAGCAUGGCGUGCGCCUGAAAAAUGGCGUCCUUGCACUCCUGCCCUGCAUGCUUUUUACGCUUGUUAAAAGUAAGAACAAGUCUUUGCUUUGUAUUUUGGAUUCCUUUUUCUUCUUCUUCACUCUGGAAAAUACUGCCACGUUGUUUUGCCUCAGAUGUGGAAAGAAAUGCCUGUUGAUGUCAAUAAUAAUUAAAUGAUCAAAAGGAAAAACACUUGUUUAACAU